rnacentral:snRNA from 1 species
AUGUGAGGGCAAUCUGGCUGCAACAUCUGUCACCCCAUUGAUCACCCCGGUUGAUUCGGCUGUUCUGGCUGGCUAGGCGGGUGUUCCCUUCCUCCCUCACCGCUCCAUGUGCAUCCCUCCCGAAGCUGCAUUUAGUGUGAUGAACUUUCCUCUUAGCACUGCUUUCAACGUGCCCCAUAAGUUUGGGUAUGCUGUGUCUUCAUUCUCAUUGAAUUCUAGGAAGUCUUUAUUUUUUUUAUU